rnacentral:ncRNA from 1 species
AGAAUCGCGAGGAUCGGAAAGAGUAAUAUCCUGACCAGAGGACAGAGAGGGCGCGUCACCGGCUGAAAGCGAGCCUGCUGUGGGGGAUAUGAAGGUGCAUCCGGGAGCGAGGGAAACAUGGAGUUUCCCCGGUUUGCCACCGUUAUUGGGUCUUUGAGUGAAAAAUAAGAGUGGAACCGCGAUUUUUGAUCGCCUCUUAU